rnacentral:snRNA from 1 species
CUCUCGGAGGACUUCCGAC